CCUACGGGAGGCUGCAGUGGGGAAUAUUGGACAAUGGGCGAAAGCCUGAUCCAGCCAUGCCGCGUGUGUGAAGAAGACCUUCGGGUUGUAAAGCACUUUCAGUGGGGAAGAAAGCCUUGGGGCUAAUACCCUCGAGGAAGGACAUCACCCACAGAAGAAGCACCGGCUAACUCCGUGCCAGCAGCCGCGGUAAUACGGAGGGUGCGAGCGUUAAUCGGAAUUACUGGGCGUAAAGCGCGCGUAGGCGGUCUGAUAAGCCGGUUGUGAAAGCCCCGGGCUCAACCUGGGAACGGCAUCCGGAACUGUCAGGCUAGAGUGCAGGAGAGGAAGGUAGAAUUCCCGGUGUAGCGGUGAAAUGCGUAGAGAUCGGGAGGAAUACCAGUGGCGAAGGCGGCCUUCUGGACUGACACUGACGCUGAGGUGCGAAAGCGUGGGUAGCAAACAGGAUUAGAUACCCUAGUAGUC
rnacentral:rRNA from 1 species